ensembl:lncRNA
UAAUAAUUGAGUUGCCAUUGGUAAAUGUGACUUUUCAUAGUCCACAGGUAUUGGUGCCCAUCAGAGGUAGGGAUAAUGGAACACACCGUUCCAGCUUCAUAGCCAUUACCUUAAGGUGGAAAAGAAAGCUACUGCUGUUGGAAAGACCAGGGAGAAAAAGGAACAAAUGGAAAGACAUCAUCCACCCCACCAGAACCCACUUCCUUACUGUCCCUUUCCCAUCCACACAUUACCUUGAUAUUGGCACCAUCUCUGGAACCAGCGAUCCUUUACUGAUGGAAGACUUAUUGUUGUAUGAAGUAAAACUUGUGCCCUGAGGAAGCACAGAAAGCAUAGUUUUAUAUGUAGAACUACAUGGGUUGGGGUUCACCGUUUCAAAACACAGAAACUUUCCCCUGAGCACACUACAAGGAUACAAAAGUUUAUUGUUCAGAUGUUUGGUCAGAUAGAACUGUCUUUACGGUGUCAAACUAACAUCACUGGAUUUCACCAACCUCAACUAUGGAUUCUUUCUGGACAGGUGUUUCACAACUUUGGAUGUUGGUGAGGCCAUGAGAUCUCAUUGUUCAGCCUGCUGAGCUACAGUUAAGCUCUGCGCUGGCGGACAGCAGUUAAACAGUGAUAUUUACACCAUAUUAAAUGUGACAAAAAUGUAACAUUAUUAUAGCGAAGUAUUGUAAUUGAUCCCAAUCCAGAUUCUGAGCCUUACCUGCCUUCUCUGUAUAGACGUGUUCUCUGGUAGAGCUUAGUUUGCCAUCAGGAUGUUCUUAGCGAACCUGAGGUAAACCAUGAAUCAUGUACUAAGUAGGGGAAUAGGCCUGUAAAUGUAUCAAGUAGAAAUAUCCUGUACGUGUUGGAAUAUGUUCAUACGUUCGGUCUCAUAUUUACAAUCAACGCAGUAUUUUAAAGCUACCAAUCCACGUUAGAUGUGUGAACCAUCAACCCUGCAUCCUGACAGUGUUGUGAAGGGUAACUGACAUUUUACCGUGGCAAAGAGCCCGAUUCCAUUAAGUGCUGUUAGUGUCGGGAUUACGGCGAUCCGAAUCGACUGGUAGCAACGUGUUUUUACUGCCAAGUCAAUCUUGGCCUCGGAGUAUCACUGAGAAUUUCCUA